rnacentral:rRNA from 1 species
UACGUAGGGUGCGAGCGUUAAUCGGAAUUACUGGGCGUAAAGCGUGCGCAGGCGGUUGUGCAAGUCAGGUGUGAAAUCCCCGGGCUUAACCUGGGAACUGCACUUGUGACUGCACAGCUGGAGUACGGCAGAGGGGGAUGGAAUUCCGCGUGUAGCAGUGAAAUGCGUAGAUAUGCGGAGGAACACCGAUGGCGAAGGCAGUCCCCUGGGCCUGUACUGACGCUCAUGCACGAAAGCGUGGGGAGCAAACAGG